UUUAUUCGGAGAAUUAUUUUGACCAUACUUCACGCUAGUCAGGUGAGUAUGAAUUUACACGUAUGGUCCUGGGCUCUGGGUUAGGUAGCAUUGUGAAAGUGUAGUCCAGACAGUUACAUCAUGUACGAACUACUUGAACAGGCAACAUUGUAUGAAAAGAGCAUGGAUAUUGAGGCUGGCAAAGAAAAUGAACUGGCAGUCUGGCACCCCAUCCUUACAACAAUAAUACACAGACCAAGACAGAA